rnacentral:rRNA from 1 species
UCCAGACUCCUACGGGAGGCAGCAGUGGGGGAUAUUGCACAAUGGGGGGAACCCUGAUGCAGCGACGCCGCGUGGGUGAAGGAGCGUUUCGGCGCGUAAAGCCCUCUCGGCAGGGAAGAAGGAGGACGGUACCUGACUAAGAAGCCCCGGCUAACUACGUGCCAGCAGCCGCGGUAAUACGUAGGGGGCAAGCGUUAUCCGGAUUUACUGGGUGUAAAGGGGGCGCAGACGGCAGCGCAAGCCAGGAGUGAAAGCCCGGGGCCCAACCCCGGGACUGCUCUUGGAACUGCGCGGCUGGAGUGCAGGAGGGGCAGGCGGAAUUCCUGGUGUAGCGGUGAAAUGCGUAGAUAUCAGGAGGAACACCGGUGGCGAAGGCGGCCUGCUGGACAGCAACUGACGCUGAGGCGCGAAAGCGUGGGGAGCAAACAGGAUUAGAUACCCCCGUAGA